rnacentral:rRNA from 1 species
GGCAGACGGGUGAGUAACGCGUGGGAACGUGCCCUUCAGUUACGGGAUAACCCAGGGAAACUUGGGCUAAUACCGGAUACGUGCGAGAGCAGAAAGAUUUAUCGCUGAAGGAUCGGCCCGCGUCUGAUUAGCUAGUUGGUGGGGUAAUGGCCCACCAAGGCGACGAUCAGUAGCUGGUCUGAGAGGAUGAUCAGCCACAUUGGGACUGAGACACGGCCAAACUCCUACGGGAGGCAGCAGUGGGGAAUAUUGGACAAUGGGCGCAAGCCUGAUCCAGCCAUGCCGCGUGAGUGAUGACAGGCCUUAGGGUUGUACAAGCUCUUUCGUCCGGGACGAUAAUGACGGUACCGGCAGAAGAAGCCCCGGCUAACUUCGUGCCAAGCAGCCGCGG